rnacentral:rRNA from 1 species
ACUCCUACGGGAGGCAGCAGUUGGGAAUAUUGCACAAUGGGCGCAAGCCUGAUGCAGCCAUGCCGCGUGUGUGAAGAAGGCCUUCGGGUUGUAAAGCACUUUCAGCAGUGAGGAAGGCGGAGUCGUUAAUAGCGGCCUCGUUUGACGUUAGCUGCAGAAGAAGCACCGGCUAACUCCGUGCCAGCAGCCGCGGUAAUACGGAGGGUGCGAGCGUUAAUCGGAAUUACUGGGCGUAAAGCGCAUGCAGGUGGUUUGUUAAGUCAGAUGUGAAAGCCCGGGGCUCAACCUCGGAAUUGCAUUUGAAACUGGCAGACUAGAGUACUGUAGAGGGGGGUAGAAUUUCAGGUGUAGCGGUGAAAUGCGUAGAGAUCUGAAGGAAUACCGGUGGCGAAGGCGGCCCCCUGGACAGAUACUGACACUCAGAUGCGAAAGCGUGGGGAGCAAACAGGAUUAGAUACCCUGGUAGGAUAGCGUAGUCGUAGGAACAAGGCACACAGGGGGGAUA